AGACCAUAUGAUCUGGCAGAACCCAUGGUAUUUGAGGUAUCUGUGGUGGGAAAAGAUCCCCGUGGAGUUUAUGACAAGACCUAGUGGGAGAAUCACAAUGUAGAUCCCUGUGGUUCUGGAGCAGGGCCAUGCCAUCUGCAGCCAGGAAUGACACGCUUUUCAAAAGCAGCUCCUGAUUUGCUACAGGAUUCUGGAAGAGACAGAUCGUCUGAGCCUGGAUCAUCAAGUUGACCAUGCAGCCACAGCUGCUCAUCAUGAGCUAGAUUCUGUCAGACCCAUCAAGUCAAAAGAGGUUGUACACCACGGAAGAAGCACUCAGCGACCAUAUGUAUGCAGUUGACAUCAGCCAGCCUCUAUCGAAGGCCACCCCAGAGCUGGGUGCAUCAGCAGAGUAAGCAUGCUGGUGUGGAGAAAGUGCAUGUAUGGGCCCAAUAGCAUGGGCUCACACUCAUCAACACUCAUCUGGAUAUUGCUGAUGCUGAGUGUUCAACCUGCCAGUUACAAGACCAACUCUGAGUCUCAGCUACGUCUCCAUUCCUUGAGAAGAACAACCAGCCACUUCAUGACACAUCUCAAGUCGGGCUAACUACGUUUUCAAGUGCUUGAUGGCCACCUAUGGCUGGUGGCUACUGUAUUGGACAGUGCAGACCUGGAAGUACUGACAUGGAAACGCCACUGAGACAUAUCGUUAAGAGAAAAGGGGAAGUUGCAGAACAAUAUGCACAGUAUGAACCAUGGUGUAAGAAAAAAAACUAUUUCUGUAAGAACAUAUUGAAACAAAGAGAAAAAAGAAAAAGCUGUGUACAGAUACCCAAUUUAGAGAGAGGCUCUGGGUGCAGUGGGGGGGCUCGGGAAGGACUCGCUCUCUCCUUACCUGAUGUUUUUAAAUAAGCCUUUUUUUUGCAGUCAUUUUAGAUUCACAAAAAGUUGCAAAGAUGACACACAGUUCCUAUCUGUCCCUCACCUGGUUUCCUCUCUUGUUAACAUCUUCCAUUAAUGUGGGACAUCUGUCGAAAUUAAAAACCCACCAUGGGUGCGUUGCUGUGAACUAACUCCAGGCUUCCUUCGGACUUCACUGGCGUUUCCACUCACGUCCUUUUCUGUUCCAG
rnacentral:lncRNA from 1 species